UGGGGAAUAUUGGACAAUGGGCGCAAGCCUGAUCCAGCCAUGCCGCGUGAGUGAUGAAGGCCCUAGGGUUGUAAAGCUCUUUCACCGGUGAAGAUAAUGACGGUAACCGGAGAAGAAGCCCCGGCUAACUUCGUGCCAGCAGCCGCGGUAAUACGAAGGGGGCUAGCGUUGUUCGGAUUUACUGGGCGUAAAGCGCACGUAGGCGGACUAUUAAGUCAGGGGUGAAAUCCCGGGGCUCAACCCCGGAACUGCCUUUGAUACUGGUAGUCUUGAGUUCGAGAGAGGUGAGUGGAAUUCCGAGUGUAGAGGUGAAAUUCGUAGAUAUUCGGAGGAACACCAGUGGCGAAGGCAGCUCACUGGCUCGAUACUGACGCUGAGGUGCGAAAGCGUGGGGAGCAAACAGG
rnacentral:rRNA from 1 species